rnacentral:rRNA from 1 species
CACACUGUAAACGAUGAAUGCUAGGUGUAGGGGGUAUCGACCCCUUCUGUGCCGGAGUAAACACAAUAAGCAUUCCGCCUGGGGAGUACGGUCGCAAGAUUAAAACUCAAAGGAAUUGACGGGGGCCCGCACAAGCAGCGGAGCAUGUGGUUUAAUUCGAAGCAACGCGAAGAACCUUACCAGGUCUUGACAUCCAGUAAAAACUGUAGAGAUACAGUGUGCUUUCGGGCAUACUGAGACAGGUGG